GCAGAGAAUUGAGGGACUGGGCCACCAACCACUGUGUGCCGACCUGGCCUUAGCACAAGGGAAAUAAAACAGUUAUGGGUACCUGGGGGUGAAAGUCAAGGAAUCACCACAGCAAAGGGGUAAAGGAGGGGGGUUGGGGGGAGCACAGUAAAAGAAGCUGCGGAAAUAAUUUUCCCAGCUUCACAUUCCCCAUUUACAGCCAGGCCAAGUUGGAGCUUGUUUUAUAGUCUAAAUUAGGCAGCCAGACUGGUCUGUAGAGCAAAGAUAUUUUUAUGGAGAAGCCAAAGAUACUAGUCAAAGAAGCCAAGCAAAUGCCCUCUUUUAUUAAACAUUUCAGAUGGGAAGAGGGCUCUGUUAGGGAGGAAAGGGUAAGAUCUGGUUACAGUAAAAGCAGGCAGCACAUCAGUGAUUCCAGACACCGGGGCAACCUCUCUCUCACCCUCCAUUCCCACAGGGUACUGUGCUCUGAUGGUCAAAAGAGAGAAGCCCUGUCUGCCAGCGCUGGCUGCUCAAAGAGUUAAAAGGGCAAGACACCAACAUGGGAGAGACCUGAAGCUCAAGAAAUGAGCAGUAAAUACUCAGCACAUCAUAACUGUGGACAAUGUAGCAGCACGUGAAAAUAGAUGACCCUGGAGGGCUGCAAUUAUGUUGGAUAAAUAUGCUAUGUCUGACUCUGAGUAGUUCUUUCUGUGCUAGCAUUUGGGGAAAAACAAUCCUUGCUAUAUGGAAAAGUGUAAGAAGAUGAAAAACAUGCUUCUGUUUUAGACAAAGCUUGUGAAGUUUCAAGGAUUGCUUAUGUAUUGGCCCAAUUGAGCUUCAGUGGCUUAAAAA